rnacentral:rRNA from 1 species
GAGACACGUGAAACCUUGUGGGAAGCAGGGAGGACCACCUCCCAAGGCUAAAUACUACCUGAUGACCGAUAGUGAAGCAGUACCGUGAGGGAAAGGUGAAAAGAACCCCGGGAGGGGAGUGAAAUAGAACCUGAAACCGUGUGCCUACAACCGCUCAGAGCCCCUUAUGAGGGUGAUGAGGUGCUUUUUGUAGAACGAGCCAACGAGUUACGGUAUGUAGCAAGGUUAAGUACUUAAGGUACGGAGCCGAAGGGAAACCGAGUCUGAAUAGGGCGACUAGUUGCAUGCCGUAGACCCGAAACCGGGUGACCUAUCCAUGGCCAGGUUGAAGCGAGGGUAAAACCUCGUGGAGGACCGAACCACGUUGCUGUUGAAAAAGCAUGGGAUGAGCUGUGGAUAGCGGAGAAAUUCCAAUCGAACCCGGAGAUAGCUGGUUCUCUCCGAAAUAGCUUUAGGGCUAGCGUCGAGUAUGAGUAGUGGAGGUAGAGCACUGAAUGGGCUAGGGGGCAUAGCGCUUACCGAACCUUAUCAAACUCCGAAUGCCACAUACUUUGAGCUCGGCAGUCAGACUACGAAUGAUAAGAUCCGUGGUCAAAAGGGAAACAGCCCAGAUCGUCAGCUAAGGUCCCAAAGUGUAAGUUAAGUGGGAAAGGAUGUGAGAUUUCUAAGACAACUAGGAUGUUGGCUUAGAAGCAGCCAUUCAUUAAAAGAGUGCGUAAUAGCUCACUAGUCGAGAGAUCUUGCGCCGAAAAUGUAACGGGGCUAAACUUACCACCGAAGCUACGGGCUUGAACUUAGUUCAAGCGGUAGGAGAGCGUCGUAACCGGGCUGAAGUCGUACCGUAAGGAGCGGUGGACUGGUUACGAGUGAGAAUGUUGGCAUCAGUAGCGAGAUGUGGGUGAGAAUCCCACAGGCCGAAAACCUAAGGUUUCCUCAGGAAGGUUCGUCCGCUGAGGGUUAGUCGGGACCUAAGCCGAGGCCGAAAGGCGUAGGUGAUGGACAACUGGUUGAUAUUCCAGUACCACUACCAUCGUUAUUAUCGAUGGCGUGACGCAGGAGGAUAGUGUGUGCUAGCUAUUGGAUGCUAGUCUAAGCGUUUAGGCAGUGAGAGUAGGCAAAUCCGCUCUCAUAAUGCUGAGGCGUGAUGGGGAAGGUUCUACGGAACCGAAGUACAUGAUUCCACGCUGCCAAGAAAAGCGUCUAGAGAGAGAAGUAGUGCCCGUACCGCAAACCGACACAGGUAGGUGAGGAGAGAAUCCUAAGGCCGGCGGAAGAAUUACAGUUAAGGAACUCGGCAAAUUGACCCCGUAAGUUCGCGAGAAGGGGUGCCUACGAGAGUAGGCCGCAGAGAAUAGGCCCAAGCAACUGUUUAGCAAAAACACAGGUCUCUGCUAAAGCGUAAGCUGAUGUAUAGGGGCUGACGCCUGCCCGGUGCUGGAAGGUUAAGGGGAACACUUAGCGCAAGCGAAGGUGUGAACUUAAGCCCCAGUAAACGGCGGCCGUAACUAUAACGGUCCUAAGGUAGCGAAAUUCCUUGUCAGGUAAGUUCUGACCCGCACGAAUGGCGUAAUGACUUGGGCACUGUCUCAACUGUAAAUCCGGCGAAGUUGUAGUGCGAGUGAAGAUGCUCGCUACCCGCGAUUGGACGGAAAGACCCCGUAGAGCUUUACUGUAGCUUAGCAUUGAGUUUUGGUAUUGUCUGUACAGGAUAGGUGGGAGACUAGGAAACCAGGGCGUCAGCCUUGGUGGAGUCAACCUUGGGAUACCACCCUGACAGUACUGAAAUUCUAACUGGCGGCCAUGAAUCUGGUCACAGGACAUUGUUAGGUGGGCAGUUUGACUGGGGCGGUCGCCUCCUAAAAAGUAACGGAGGCGCCCAAAGGUUCCCUCAGAACGGUCGGAAAUCGUUCGAAGAGUGCAAAGGCAGAAGGGAGCCUGACUGCGACACCCACAAGUGGAGCAGGGACGAAAGUCGGGCUUAGUGAUCCGGUGGUACCUCGUGGGAGGGCCAUCGCUCAACGGAUAAAAGCUACCUCGGGGAUAACAGGCUGAUCUCCCCCAAGAGUCCACAUCGACGGGGAGGUUUGGCACCUCGAUGUCGGCUCGUCGCAUCCUGGGGCUGAAGUAGGUCCCAAGGGUUGGGCUGUUCGCCCAUUAAAGCGGCACGCGAGCUGGGUUCAGAACGUCGUGAGACAGUUCGGUCCCUAUCCGUCGCGGGCGUAGGAAAUUUGAGAGGAGCUGUCCUUAGUACGAGAGGACCGGGAUGGACUGACCUCUGGUGUACCAGUUGUUCCGCCAGGAGCACAGCUGGGUAGCUAAGUCGGGAAUGGAUAAACGCUGAAAGCAUCUAAGCGUGAAGCCAACCUCAAGAUGAGAUUUCCCAUAGCGUAAGCUAGUAAGAUCCCUUGAAGAACACAAGGUUGAUAGGUCGGGGGUGUAAGCAUGGUAACAUGUUCAGCUGACCGAUACUAAUAGAUCGAGGGCUUGACCAAAU